rnacentral:piRNA from 1 species
UGAACUGAACGCAAGCUUGCCUAUGG